CCUACGGGAGGCAGCAGUGGGGAAUAUUGCACAAUGGGCGAAAGCCUGAUGCAGCAAUGCCGCGUGUGUGAAGAAGGCUCUAGGGUUGUAAAGCACUUUCAAUAAGGAAGAAAAGCAUGAGGUUAAUAACCUUAUGUAUUGACGUAACUUAUACAAGAAGCACCGGCUAAUUCCGUGCCAGCAGCCGCGGUAAUACGGAAGGUGCAAGCGUUAAUCGGAAUUACUGGGCGUAAAGCGCGCGUAGGCUGUUAUCUAAGUCGGAUGUGAAAUCCUCGGGCUCAACCUGGGAACUGCAUCCGAAACUGAAUAACUAGAGUAUGGGAGAGGUAAGUAGAAUUUCCGGUGUAGCGGUGAAAUGCGUAGAUAUCGGAAGGAAUACCAGUGGCGAAGGCGGCUUACUGGACCAAUACUGACGCUGAGGUGCGAAAGCGUGGGGAGCGAACAGGAUUAGAUACCCUGGUAGUCCACGCCGUAAACGAUGAGAACUAGAUGUUGGGAGGGUUAGCCUCUCAGUGUCGCAGCUAACGCAUUAAGUUCUCCGCCUGGGGAGUACGACCGCAAGGUUGAAACUCAAAGGAAUUGACGG
rnacentral:rRNA from 1 species